GCAGGCAGCCCACUCUUGUUGCUGCCAUCAAAUAACAAACGAAAGUUUGUGGGAAAGCGCAAAACAAAGAGAGAGCAGCGAAGGACAGACAGACGCUUGGGCGGAAGAUACAAGAAUUCACAGCAAGUUGGCAAAAAAAUUUUCCCGCUGAUUUCAGUUAUCAACAAAGCGAGCAACAGUAAGGCAAUAACAAGAAAACAACGGGAAGCAAAGCGCCAGUAAGCUACGCGCAUCGAAACGUGAAAAAGUGAAUGCGAGUACGUCGAAAUUGCGUUGCGUGUUGCCGAUGGUUUUAUGAGUGGCGGAUUUAUUUUUGCGAAAAACGGUUUGGUGUAAUUAGAUAAAAUUCAACUAAUCAUGCAAAAGCUCCAAUAAAAUUGUUGCUAAAAUCGAUAUACUUAAUAAAAAACCAGUCUAAAAUAAAACCAAAGCUUAACUCUAAAAAUACAAAGCAAAUUAAAAAAAUGUUGUUGAACAAAAAGUAUUUUUGAAACAACAACGAUCAAAAACAGCAGCACGCUUACAGCAGCCAUCAAAAGGAGUUGCAAACACUAAUAAAAAAAAAAAAUACAAACUACAGCACCUACCUACGCUGCUAUAAUUCAACAAACGUCAGCCGCCAAUUUUCGUGAAAAUUUCGGGCUUUCUAGGAAACUUUCUCUCCAAAGGCCUGAAAACCAAUCAAUUGGAGGUGAACACUGAUGAAAAAACUUUACGACCAAUUGCGCG